GGGAAAAAAUCGCAAAAAAUCAGGAAAAAAUCGGAAAUAAAUCCAGGAUGACGUCUCAUCGUCUCUGGAUCACAGGACACCUCCAGGAAGGCCAGGAGAUGCGGUAAUUGGCGGAUCAAUUGAAAAAUUGACUCAAAAUCGAAAAGAAAUCAGGAAAGGAAGGCAAAGAUAGAAAAUAUCCGGUCAACAUCUGGAAACGAGUCUAAGGUAAUUGCAUUCUUGGUCUCAAAAUCGAAGACAGUCAGAGGAUCAGAGGCGACAGUCUUCAGGCAUGUGCAAGUUUUGGGGCUGGACAAUAGAUUCAAGCAACAGCGAAACUACUUGUCAAAUUUAUUUGAAUAUGGAUGCAGCGUCACAAUGAAAAUUGCAGAUUUGUUGAUUUCUGGCUCUUGCAGCAUCCAGAAAUUCAUAACCAUUAGAAUGUCUGAUAUUUGUUUCAGAAGAAUCGGUAUACAGAAUUUCCCAGGUGAUUGAUGACACUGUUUGUUGGCAGCUAAGGUGAUUAAAUAUCCCAUGAGAAAAUUGGAAGAAUAGAAGAGUAUUGACGACAGU
rnacentral:misc_RNA from 1 species